rnacentral:rRNA from 1 species
GACGAACGCUGGCGGCGUGCUUAACACAUGCAAGUCGCACGAAGUGGCGAACGGGUGAGUAAUACGUGAGUAACCUGCCCUCCUUUUUGGGAUAAGCCUUGGAAACGGGGUCUAAUACCGGAUCCAGGGGGAUGGGCUCGCGGCCUAUCAGCUUGUUGGUGGGGUGAUGGCCUACCAAGGCGGUGACGGGUAGCCGGCCUGAGAGGGUGACCGGCCAAAUUGGGACUGAGAUACGGCCCAGACUACUACGGGAGGCAGCAGUGGGGGAUAUUGCACAAUGGGCGAAAGCCUGAUGCAGCGACGCCGCGGGAGUGAAGAAGGUUUUCGGAUCGUAAAGCUCUGUUGUGAGAGAAGCGUUAACUAACCAGAAAGGGACGGCUAACUACGUGCCAGCAGCCGCGGUAAUAC